rnacentral:piRNA from 1 species
UAGUGUUUUUCUUAGUGACCCUCUGUGUGU